UGCGUAGGCGGAUUAAUAAGUCAGUGGUGAAAUCUUUCGGCUCAACCGAGAAACUGCCAUUGAUACUGUUAAUCUUGAGUUCGGUUGAGGUAGGCGGAAUGUGUAACGUAGCGGUGAAAUGCUUAGAUAUUACACAGAACACCAAUUGCGUAGGCAGCUUACUAGACCGACACUGACGCUGAGGCACGAAAGCGUGGGGAGCGAACAGGAUUAGAUACCCUGGUAGUCC
rnacentral:rRNA from 1 species